GCCCUAGUCCUCCACGCUCGUCUCCCGGGAGACGGGUGGGAAGUGCGAGCGAGGGCGGGGUGGAAAUGUCAUCCAAGCCAACGGGGUCUUUGCCUUUGUAAUGAAAAAGGAAGUUUCCCUACAAUCCCGACCUCAGAGCCCUCAGUGAAGACUUCCUGGAGUGAGCCUAGCGUCCUAAAGGGAGAGGAGGAGCCCCAGACCUGCUUGCACACACCUGUGUUCGAGAGAGGAGCCCCAGACCUGCUUGCACACGCCUGUGUGCGAGAGAGGAGCUCUAGACCUGCUUGCACAUGCCUGUGUGCGAAAAAAACUGCCCGUGAGUCCCUCACCUCCACCACAGUUAACAAUAAUUGUUGCUAAUGUAGCUGAGAAGCCAAAGGCAAUGGUUAAUAUUCCUAAGAAAAUAAAAAGCAUGAUCUUGCUCUAAAAUUCCAGGGGAUUUCAGUUAUAUGUUGGGUGUCAGUAAACCUGUGCAUUACAGAUUUAAUUUAUUCAGGAGAGGAAAGUUACAGAUUCU
rnacentral:lncRNA from 1 species